UGGUGCCAGCAGCCGCGGUAAUUCCAGCUCCAAUAGCGUAUAUUAAAAGUUGUUGACAGUUAAAAAGCUCGUAGUUGAAUUUCUGAUUAUGGAUGUAGCGGUUUCCGUUACAUUUGUAGUCAUCCACAUGAGAACCUUUCUCGGCCUUCACUGGUCGGUUGGGGGAUCAUGUACUUUACUUUGAAAAAAUCAGAGUGUUCAGGCAGGCGUUUGCAUGAAUACACAAGCAUGGAAUAAUGGAAUAGGACUAGGGUCCAUUUUAUUGGUUAUUGGACCAUAGUAAUGAUUAAUAGGGACAGUUGGGGGCAUUAGUAUUUAAUUGUCAGAGGUGAAAUUCUUGGAUUUAUUAAAAGACUAACUUAUGCGAAAGCAUUUGCCAAGGAUGUUUUCAUUAAUCAAGAACGAAAGUUAGGGGAUCAAAGACGAUCAGAUACCGUCCUAGUCUUAACUAUAAACUAUACCGACUAGGGGAUUGGUUGGGGUCAUUAGAGCCCAAUCAGUCACCUUAUGAGAAAAUCAAAGUCUUUGGGGUUCUGGGGGG
rnacentral:rRNA from 1 species